AUACGGAGGGUCCGAGCGUUAAUCGGAAUUACUGGGCGUAAAGCGCGCGUAGGUGGUUAGACAAGUCAGAUGUGAAAGCCCCGGGCUCAACCUGGGAACUGCAUUUGAAACUGUUUGGCUAGAGUAUGGUAGAGGUGAGUGGAAUUUCAGGUGUAGCGGUGAAAUGCGUAGAGAUCUGAAGGAACAUCAGUGGCGAAGGCGACUCACUGGGCCAUUACUGACGCUGAGGUGCGAAAGCGUGGGUAGCAAACAGGAUUAGAAACCCCAGUAGUCC
rnacentral:rRNA from 1 species